rnacentral:lncRNA from 1 species
GAAGAGAAAAGAAGGAAUCAAUUGAUGAGGGGAAGACAAGAAUGAACCGACAAAUUUGAAAAAGAAUAGAAAAAGAAUAUUAAUGAUUUAGAGUAAUUUGUCAUAGCUUUGAUUGAAUGAAGUGAGAGUGGAAAGAAUAGAAAAAGAAGUCAAAAAGAAUAAAAAUUGAGAUUUUUUAAAUUAAUAAAAAAUAAGUAGAU